rnacentral:rRNA from 1 species
GACGAACGCUGGCGGCGUGCUUAACACAUGCAAGUCGAACGGUAAGGCCCUUCGGGGUACACGAGUGGCGAACGGGUGAGUAGCACGUGGGUGAUCUGCCCUGCACUUUGGGAUAAGCCUGGGAAACUGGGUCUAAUACCGGAUAGGACCAUGGACUUCACGGUUUGUGGUGGAAAGCUUUUGCGGUGUGGGAUGGGCCCGCGGCCUAUCAGCUUGUUGGUGGGGUAAUGGCCUACCAAGGCGACGACGGGUAGCCGGCCUGAGAGGGUGUCCGGCCACACUGGGACUGAGAUACGGCCCAGACUCCUACGGGAGGCAGCAGUGGGGAAUAUUGCACAAUGGGCGCAAGCCUGAUGCAGCGACGCCGCGUGGGGGAUGACGGCCUUCGGGUUGUAAACCUCUUUCAGUAGGGACGAAGCGCAAGUGACGGUACCUACAGAAGAAGCACCGGCCAACUACGUGCCAGCAGCCGCAGUAA